rnacentral:rRNA from 1 species
CACGUGGAUAAUCUGCCCUCAGAUGAAGAAUAAUCCCGGGAAACUGGGGCUAAUGCUUCAUAGGAGACGGGUGCUGGAAUGCUCUGUCUCUGAAAGGUCCGCCGUCUGAGGAUGAGUCUGCGUCCGAUUAGGUUGUUGUUGGGGUAACGGCCCACCAAGCCUUUGAUCGGUACGGGUUGUGGGAGCAAGAGCCCGGAGAUGGAUUCUGAGACAUGAAUCCAGGCCCUACGGGGCGCAGCAGGCGCGAAAACUUUACAAUGCGAGCAAUCGUGAUAAGGAAACCCUGAGUGCCUGUUAUCGCAGGCUGUUCUGGUGUCUAACACACACCAGGAGAAAGGGCGGGGCAAGACCGGUGCCAGCCGCCGCGGUAAUACCGGCUGCUCGAGUGAUAGCCACUUUUACUGGGCUUAAAGCGUUCGUAGCUUGGUCGUUAAGUCUCUGGGGAAAUCUUUUGGCUCAACCAAAAGGCGUCUCAGGGAAACUGGCGACCUAGGAACCGGGAGAGGUAAGACGUACUUCGGGGGUAGGAGUGAAAUCUUGUAAUCCCCGAGGGACGACCGAUGGCGAAGGCAUCUUACCAGAACGGCUUCGACAGUGAGGGACGAAAGCUG